ACGCACGCUGGCGGCGUGCUUCACACCUGCAAGUCGUACGGUAAGGCCCUUUCGGGGGUACACGAGUGGCGAACGGGUGAGUAACACGUGAGUAACCUGCCCACAACUUUGGGAUAACGCUAGGAAACUGGUGCUAAUACUGGAUAUGUGCUCCUGCUGCAUGGUGGGGGUUGGAAAGCUCCGGCGGUUGUGGAUGGACUCGCGGCCUAUCAGCUUGUUGGUGGGGUAGUGGCCUACCAAGGCGGCGACGGGUAGCCGGCCUGAGAGGGUGACCGGCCACAUUGGGACUGAGAUACGGCCCAGACUCCUACGGGAGGCAGCAGUGGGGAAUAUUGCACAAUGGGCGCAAGCCUGAUGCAGCAACGCCGCGUGCGGGAUGACGGCCUUCGGGUUGUAAACCGCUUUCAGCAGGGACGAAGCUUUUUGUGACGGUACCUGCAGAAGAAGCACCGGCUAACUACGUG
rnacentral:rRNA from 1 species